rnacentral:rRNA from 1 species
AAUCGAACCCGGAGAUAGCUGGUUCUCCUCGAAAUAGCUUUAGGGCUAGCCUCGAUACAGAUUUGCGGAGGUAGAGCACUGAAUUUCCUAGGGGGCGUCAAAGCCUACCGAAGAAUAUCAAACUCCGAAUGCCGCGUAAUCGAUUAUCGGGAGUCAGACUGCACGAGAUAAGUUGGGCGGUCAAAAGGGAAAGAGCCCAGACCUUCAGUUAAGGUCCCCAAGUGCGCGUUAAGUGGAAAAGGAUGUGGGAUUUCGAAGACAACCAGGAUGUUGGCUCAGAAGCAGCCAUCCAUUCAAAGAGUGCGUAAUAGCUCACUGGUCGAGAGGUCCUGCGCCGAAAAUGUCCGGGGCUGAAACGCGCCACCGAAACUAAGGAACCGAAAGGUUGGUAGAGGAGCAUUGCAUGCGGAACGAAGCAGUACCGUAAGGAGCUGUGGACUGCAUGGAAGAGAGAAUGCCGGAAUGAGUAGCGAGAAUAAGGUGAGAAUCCUUAUGGCCGAAUAUCCAAGGUUUCCAGAGUAAAGCUGAUCUGCUCUGGGUAAGUCGGGGCCUAAGGCGAGGACGAGAGUCGUAGCCGAUGGACAACAGGUGGAGAUUCCUGUACUGCGGUAUGACAGAACUGUGGGGACACGUAAGGAAAGCGGAAGCCGGGAAUGGAAAGCCCGGUGCAAGCGGGGUACCAGCCACUUUGGCAAAUCCGGGUGGCAAUGGGAAGCCGUGAUGCGGAGCGAAAUAAAGUAGCGAAGUCCGUGAGCCAUGCGUCAAGAAAAGCCGCUAUUGUUUAUACCGUACCCGUACCGUAAACCGACACAGGUGGAUGAGGAGAGAAUCCUAAGGCCGGCGGAAGAAGCAUUGUCAAGGAACUCGGCAAAAUGGCCCCGUAACUUAGGGAUAAGGGGUGCCUGGGAAACCAGGCCGCAGAGAAUAGGCUCAAGCAACUGUUUAGCAAAAACACAGGUCUAUGCGAAACCGAAAGGUGAGGUAUAUGGGCUGACGCCUGCCCGGUGCUGGAAGGUUAAGAGGAGAGGUUAGCGCAAGCGAAGCUUUGAAUUUAAGCCCCAGUAAACGGCGGCCGUAACUAUAACGGUCCUAAGGUAGCGAAAUUCCUUGUCGGGUAAGUUCCGACCCGCACGAAAGGCGUAAUGAUUUGAGCGCUGUCUCGACAAUGCAUCCGGUGAAAUUGAAGUACCAGUGAAGAUGCUGGUUACCUGCGCCAGGACGGAAAGACCCCAUGGAGCUUUACUCCAGUCUGGUACUGGGACUCGGUAUUGCAUGUACAGGAUAGGUGGGAGGCUAGGAGAUGGUAACGCCAGUUGCCAUGGAGCCGCUGUUGGGAUACCACCCUUGCAGUAUUGGGUUUCUAACCAGCCGCCGUGACCCGGCGGUGGGACAAUGCCAGACGGGGAGUUUGACUGGGGCGGUCGCCUCCGAAAGGGUAUCGGAGGCGCCCAAAGGUUCCCUCAGAAUGGACGGAAACCAUUCGAAGAGUGCAAAGGCAGAAGGGAGCUUGACUGCGACACCGACGGGUGGAGCAGGUACGAAAGUAGGACUUAGUGAUCCGGUGGUAUGAAAGUGGGAUUGCCAUCGCUCAACGGAUAAAAGCUACCCUGGGGAUAACAGGCUUAUCACUCCCAAGAGUUCACAUCGACGGAGUGGUUUGGCACCUCGAUGUCGGCUCAUCGCAUCCUGGGGCUGUAGUAGGUCCCAAGGGUUGGGCUGUUCGCCCAUUAAAGCGGUACGCGAGCUGGGUUCAGAACGUCGUGAGACAGUUCGGUCCCUAUCCGGCGUGGGCGUAGGAUAUCUGAGAGGAGCUGUCCUUAGUACGAGAGGACCGGGAUGGACGGGCCGCUGGUGCAUCGGUUAGACUGCCAAGUCUACGGCCGAGUAGCCAAGCCCGGAAGGGAUAAACGCUGAAGGCAUCUAAGCGUGAAGCCCCCCUUAAGAUGAGAUAUCCCAUUCGAAAGAAGUAAACCCCCUUGA